CGGCCGCGUCGACGAUGGCCCCGCGGUGCAUUAGCUAGUUGGUAAGGUAACGGCUUACCAAGGCAAUGAUGCAUAGCCGAGUUGAGAGACUGAUCGGCCACAUUGGGACUGAGACACGGCCCAAACUCCUACGGGAGGCAGCAGUAGGGAAUCUUCCACAAUGGACGCAAGUCUGAUGGAGCAACGCCGCGUGAGUGAAGAAGGUUUUCGGAUCGUAAAGCUCUGUUGUUGGUGAAGAAGGAUAGAGGUAGUAACUGGCCUUUAUUUGACGGUAAUCAACCAGAAAGUCACGGCUAACUACGUGCCAGCAGCCGCGGUAAUACGUAGGUGGCAAGCGUUGUCCGGAAUUAUUGGGCGUAAAGCGCGCGUAGGCGGUAAAUAAGUCUGAUGUGAAAGCCCCCGGCUCAACCGGGGAGGUCAUUGGAAACUGUUUACUGAGUACAGAAGAGGAGAGUGGAAUUCCAUGUGUAGCGGUGAAAUGCGCAGAGAUAUGGAGGAACACCAGUGGCGAAGGCGGCUCUCUGGUCUGUUACCG
rnacentral:rRNA from 1 species